rnacentral:rRNA from 1 species
GACGAACGCUGGCGGCGUGCUUAACACAUGCAAGUCGAACGGAAAGGCCCUGCUUUUGUGGGGUGCUCGAGUGGCGAACGGGUGAUUAACACGUGAGUAACCUGCCCUUGACUUUGGUAUAACUUCAGGAAACUGGGGCUAAUACCUGAUAGGAGCUCCUGCUGCAUGGUGGGGGUUGGAAAGUUUCGGCGGUUGGGGAUGGACUCGCGGCUUAUCAGCUUGUUGGUGGGGUAGUGGCUUACCAAGGCUUUGACGGGUAGCCGGCCUGAGAGGGUGACCGGCCAAAUUGGGACUGAGAUACGGCCCAGACUCAUACGGUAGGCAGCAGUGGGGAAUAUUGCAAAAUGGGCGGAAGCCUGAUGCAGCAACGCCGCGAGCAGGAUGAAGGCCUUCGGGUUGUAAACCGCUUUCGCCUGUGACGAAGCGUGAGUGACGGUAAUGGGUAAAGAAGCACCGGCUAACUACGUG